rnacentral:lncRNA from 10 species
CUCCUAUAACUGUAGAAUGGUUGUAGGUCACAGGUAUAACCAAUGAAAACACAACCUAAGAUACAAAUCAGGAGCUACUGAUGCAAAGAAUGGGGACCAGGAGGAAGAGUUUCUUCGAGACCUGGUGGUUGAAGAGCAGUGGAUCAUUCUUGGCUGUGGUGGGAGAGGUGCUGAACGUUGUUCACGCUGGCUAUGUCAUGAGUGGAAUCUAUGGCGUCAAGGCUAGGUGCUUCCAAGACCAAGAUAACCAGGCAAUCAUAGUAGAUGCAUCAAUGCACCCUUGCCCAAGGGCCUAGACAAGAGGUAUUGUUUAGCUUCGCAUGAAUUUUAUCACCUUGCCUAGAACCAGCCACCAUCUGCCAGGGCUCCUGACUUUUUCUGAAAUGAAUAGACACUAAAGCCUGCUGGGGAAUUUCAUGGAAAUCAAGAUGACUCAACCCAGAGUCCAUUUCAAGGCUAGGAUGCUAGAGGACGCCAACAAAGGAGUAGGGAAGUGAAACGGAUCAGCUCACAUCCAAGCCCUUGCAUGAUCAAUCCUGCAGUAGGAGUGCUGCUCAGUUGGGACUCAUGAGAGCCCGGAAGAGGAAAAAGCAGCUCUAAGCAUAGCAAAGAAGCUGUUAUGGAAAAGACCCAAAUGUUAAAAUGGUGGACAUAGUAAAGUGAUUGGUUCUGCUUAGGGGAAUCUAGAUCCCCACAUUUUGACCUCCACUGGAGUCUCAGAAGAACAAGUGCCAGGGGGGCUUGCCACAGAGGCCAAGGCAGUGAAUGUCAGGCACAUCACAGUCCCCAAGAUGGGGAGAAGACUGAGAUGCAGGGUAACAACUGCAAUCCAUUCAUGGGAGCCAUGUUUAUCUUAAAUCAUUGACAGUGAGAUAAGGAUCAUGUCAGCCUUCAUACCUUUGAUGAUGAUCCCAGGCUGCAACAGUGACACAUAGAACUGGAUUCAGUAACUAACUACAGAUUCCAUCAACCAGGACUAGUAAAGUGAAAGGCAGAAAUUGGGAGGAGGGGUUUCUUUCUUGCUUAUAAAACUUUAUUUGGUUGUGUUGAGUAUGUGCAUGUAUGUAUGAAAUCCCAUAAAGCAGUCUUCUUAGGAACAAGCCAACAUGCCACAAUGUAGGAGAUCUUUGGAGCACUGGCCUAAAUGGCAGAGAGCUCAAGGGACUCUGCUUUGUACAAGGCAUGAUUUGUACCACCACCACUAUCCCUGUUUCAGAGCACUGUUGAAUUGUUCCAAACCUGGAUUUCUAUGUCAGCUCCCUGUCUAUAGUACUUGACUGAUAAAUGCUAGUUUCUGAAAUCUGCUUUGGUUCUAUAAUUUAUUAGACAGCUUUUUCUUCCCAUUUUAUUACUUGUUUUUACUGUCAUUGGUAUAUUAUCUCUUACAGUGAAAACAUUCAUAGGCUGAUUGAAGAGAAGAUCUGAAAUUAUUAGGCAGCAAGCAUACAAAACCCUUGCUUUAUAAAGAUAAUAUCUUAAAGGCCUAAUGUCUAUGGUUCAAAGCAGCCUGGAGAUGUUGGCUAAAUCUUCCAUCAUAGAGUCCUCAUGGGAUCUGGAAGCUCUGAUUUAUCUUCCUUCAGGCCCUAUAAGUUAGCUUUCCACAUCUGUAGGUUCCACAAUCAACCUUGGAUCAAAAACAUUUGAAA